rnacentral:lncRNA from 1 species
AAGAUACUGUUGCCCCAAGUAGAUAUCAUAAUUUGUUACAAUAAGUAAAAAUGUAUAUUAUUCAAUACUAAACUGUUAUACCACAUUUCAAGUUUUUAAAACUUUAUCUUCCUUUUAUGCAUAGAUAGUAGUAGAGCAUUAAGAACAUGCAUGGCUAUCACCUGAGGUGUUGAUUGUAAAUUCACAUUCCUAGGCUUUGUCUCUUAACUACUGAAUCGGAAUCUUUGGGAGUGAACUGACAGGAAUCUGAAUUUUAAAAAUAAGGUCUUCAGGUGAUUCUCAUGCAUCUAAAGAUAACUGCUUUAAUAUAUAACAAAGAAACCCAAAGAGGGACACUUGAGGAUUUUUUCAAUAUAUCUUCUUUUGCAGAGAUUAAUAGUGAAUGUUGUUUUAUCUGCUGUUUAGAAUUUUACAUAUGCAUUGGAUGAUACAUCUUCUUUUACUGACAAAAAGGCUUUUCUCUGGAGAAAAUAAAAAGGCAGCUUUCCCUGAGAGCACACACUUCUAGCAAAGCCCCAAUCCAUAUGACUCUAAGACAGAGUGAUUUCCACCUUCUAGUCCUUACUUUCUUGCAAAAGGGGCUUUCAAAUCUCAUUACUGAUGGUCCCAUCUUUUAUUACUGGUGUUAUCAAUGGGAUGCUUGCAGCAGCUUAAGUAUGUGGAUAAAGAAGGAAUGCACAAUAUACGGUACUGAAUAUUUUUAAAAAGUGGUCUUUCAGAAUGUCUGUAUGUGUGGGGGCCCAUGCUUAGGCAUAUGUGCAUGCCAGUGUGUUAUUUAUGUUGAAACCAAUGUUUUACAUUAAUGGCUGGAAUUCCAGAAAAAUAAGAAAAUAUUUGUAUUUUCUAAACCAUUAAAAGUUUAGUGGAACUCA